GAUGAAGAACGUAGCGAAAUGCGAUAAGUAGUGUGAAUUGCAGAAUUCAGUGAAUCAUCGAAUCUUUGAACGCACAUUGCGCCCCUUGGUAUUCCAUGGGGCAUGCCUGUUCGAGCGUCAUUACAACCCUCAAGCUCAGCUUGGUAUUGGGCCCCGCCGACCCGGCGGGCCCUAAAGUCAGUGGCGGUGCCGUCCGGCUCCGAGCGUAGUAAUUCUUCUCGCUCUGGAGGUCCGGUCGUGUGCUCGCCAGCAACCCCCAAUUUUUUUCAGGUUGACCUCGGAUCAGGUAGGGAUACCCGCUGAACUUAAGCAUAUCAAUAAGCGGAGGA
rnacentral:misc_RNA from 1 species